AUUGAACGCUGGCGGCAGGCUUAACACAUGCAAGUCGAGCGAGCGGCGGACGGGUGAGUAAUGUCUGGGAAACUGCCUGAUGGAGGGGGAUAACGACUGGAAACGGUAGCUAAUAGCGCAUACCAUCAGAUGUGCCCAGAUGGGAUUAGCUAGUAGGGGGGGUAAUGGCUCACCUAGGCGACGAUCCCUAGCUGGUCUGCGAGGAUGACCAGCCACACUGGAACGGAGACACGGUCCAGACUCCUACGUGAGGCAGCAGUGGGGAAUAUUGCACAAUGGGCGCAAGCCUGAUGCAGCCAUGCCGCGUGUGUGAAGAAGGCCUUCGGGUUGUAAAGCACUUUCAGCGGGGAGGCGUUACUCGCAGAAGAAGCACCGGCUAACUCCGUGCCAGCAGCCGCGGUAAUUC
rnacentral:rRNA from 1 species